UCGAAUCACAGUCAUGAAGGCUCGGUGCUAGAUGACCGUGCAUAGCAUGUGUCAGCUAACGCUCACCAGCAGAUCAAGCGCUGAUGGCAUCGUCACAUGGACUAGACACGGCCAUCUCGAGCAGCAGUAGAUCUAGCCAUGACGGAGUCGACCGAGCAAGCCGCUGAGUGAAGAAGUUUCGAUCGUAAAACUCUGUGUAAGAAGAACAAGAUGAGAGUAACUGUUCAUCCUUGACGUAUCUACCAGAAAGCACGGCUAACUACGUGCAGCAGCCGCGUAUACGUAGGUGCAAGCGUUGCCUGAUUUAUUGGGCGUAAGCGAGCGCAGGCGGUUUCUUAAGUCUGAUGUGAAAGCCCCCGGCUCACCCGGGGAGGGUCAUUGGAAACUGGGAGACUUGAGUGCAGAAGAGGAAGAGUGGAAUUCCAUGUGUAGCGGUGAAAUGGGUAGAUAUAUGGAGGACCACCAGUGGCGAAGGCGGCUCUCUGUUCUGUAACUGACGCUGAGGCUCGAAAGCGUGGGGAGCAACCAGGAUUAGAUACCCUGGUAGUCCACGCCGUAAACGAUGAGUGUUAAGUGUUGGAGGGUUUCCGCCCUUCAGUGCGGCAGCUAACGCAUUAAGCAUUCCGCCUGGGGAGUACGACCGCAAGGUUGAAAUUCAAAGGAAUUGACGGGGGCCCGCCCAAGCGGUGGAGCAUGUGGUUUAAUUGGAAGCAACGGGAAGACCCUUACCAGGUCUUGACAUCCUUUGACCACUCUAGAGAUAGAGCUUCCCCUUCGGGGGCAAAGUGACAGGUGGUGCAUGGUGGUGGUCAGCUCGGGUCGUGAGAUGUUGGGUUAAGUCCCGCAACGAGCGCAACCCUUAUUGUUAGUUGCCAUCAUUCAGUUGGGCAUUCUAGCAAGACUGCCGGUGCCAAACCGGAGGAAGGUGGGGAGGAGGUCAAAUCAUCAUGCCCCUUAUGCCCUGGGCUACACACGUGUUCCAAUGGGAAGUACAACGAGUUGGGAAGUCGGGAGGUUAAGCUAAUUUCUUAAAGCUUCUUUCAGUUCGGAUUCCAGGCUGCAACUCGCCUGCAGGAAGCCGGAAUCGUUAGUAAUCGCGGAUCACCACGCCGCGGGGAAUACGUUCCCGGCCCUUGUCCACCCCCCCCGCCCCACCACGAGAGUUGGUACCACCCGAAGUCGGUG
rnacentral:rRNA from 1 species